UUUAGAGCCGCACCCGGCGCGCGGCGGCCCCGCGGGGAGGCGGACGCUGGGCUCCCAGUGCGGAGCGCGGAGCGCGGGUCCCGCCCCCCUUCCCAGCAGCCUCUCCGCCUUUGCCAACCUUUCUUAAAGGGGCCGGGCCUCCCGAGGAGGAGCGGGGCACCUGAGGUCGCUCAGCGAGGGAGGGACCCCGAGCUCCGGUUCCUGCGAAAUCCAGUCAAACUGUGGAGCGUCUGCUCUGUGCCAGCCACGCCUUGGAGACGGGGCAGCGUUGCUCUUCCCUUCCUCCACCCUACAAAGCUGCUUCCAGCUGCUCGCAGAAUUACAUUGGCCUUAAACACAUCCGCAGAACAACCCCGAGUUGCAUGUUGUGCCUGGGGGGACGCCAGUGCGGAGACAGAAGGGGCGAGGAGCUCUGGGUGUCAUCCUGAGCUAAGGUGAAGGGAGUUGGGCUCUUCAAAGGGAAGGAGAGUAAUUCACAGAAGACGACAAGGAGUAAAUGUGUGCUGGGCCGCACAGAAGCAAGGGGAUGGCGAGAGCGAUCGUCAGACUUUGCUAAACUCCUACCUGUCUCACCUGCGUCCCACGGUACUGCAGUUACCUAUGGUGAGAGAUCUCUUCUGGAGCAGGUCCUCUGUUGAAAUUUUUUAUUUUUUUUAUUUUUAUUAAGAGACACAGAGAGAGGCAGAGACACAGGCAGAGGGAGAAGCAGGCUCCAUGCAGGGAGCCCGACGUGGGACUCGAUCCCGGGACCCCAGGAUCACGCCCUGGGCCGAGGGCAGGUGCUCCUCCGCUGAGCCACCCAGGCGUCCCAUGUUUAAAUUCUUUUAAGCAGUUGGAGGAGGCCAGUUUCUCCCUGAGUCUUUUAUACCUUGAUGGUUUUCAGCUCAGAAAUAAUCCACAAAAAACAAAACAAAAAAAAAAAAAAAAAGAAAGAAAGAAAAGAAAAAAGAAAAAGAAAAAGAAAAAGAAAGAAAAGAAAUGAUCCACAAGCCAAAUAAUCCACACACACACAUAUGAAAAAAAAAAAAAAGAUCCACAAGCCAAAGUGGCACCUCUCGGGGCAAUUCCUCCACAGCCCCUACGCACACCUGGGCACCAGGCAUGCAGCGCGGAGCAACCCAGACGCACCGUAAGCCCUCCGUGACAGCUUAAAUCCCGAAGGACGUCCUCUCUUUUCUAAUUUUCAUAGAUAUACACUAUAAAUCUGUUUGCAACCUUUAUCACUCAAGUUCUGGACCCACGUGUCCAUCUUGCAACCCUCCACCUAUUCCAAACUCCACUCGCCUCCGUACCUGACCCUGAAAACCCUCUCUGGGGUGUCAAAGGAGAAAGAAAAUUGACCUCCAGUAAGGAACAGGCAAAUCGGGUUUCUGCACCUGAAUCUGCAAUUGGGGGAAUGGUUUGGCAGCCACCUGUUCAAAAUUAGAGGCUGUUGCUUCUGUUCUCCAUCUCGGCCCUCUGUUCGAGGGGUUUCCCACUUUCCCUACAAACUGGAACCUCUAGGAACUACUUAGAAGGAGAUGAAACCUUGUUCCAGGGCCCAAAUGUAACAUAAGAAGUAGACUGGGAAGAAAUGCUUCUGGAGUCUCUUAUUCAACAGAUAGAAUCUGAAUAUACCAACAGAAGUCUCUGUUGACAUGUCUCCUCCAUUUUUCGGUGUGUCAAGAAACUGCAGGGAGACUUUGGAUUCCCGAGCUGGCAAAUCUGAGUUGAAGAUAACCAAGUUAGACCUCUUCAGUAUGGUAUUGAAGAGGUGCAGAGAAGACAAGGGAACCCACGGACUCCGUAUAAUUCAUUCAGAUUCGGACAAACUGCCAGGCCAGUGGAUCCACACCUCUUUUUAUUUAUAAUUAACCUUCUGCCUUGACUACUCAUCUUUGGAAUGCUGAUUGUCAUGGAAGCAAUAAUUAUUAUAUUAGUCUUGCUGUGUUCCUGAAGCUGUUCAUGAGCUCUUGCUUGCCUAGGAUUCCAUGUUUUAUAGAGGAAGAGACUGUGGAGUCUGGAAUAGUCUAUGCUCAUGAAGCUGCAAGCGAACUUCCUGGAGUGGCCCUGAAUUAACCUGGGUGUCAGAGACCAUGGACCAGCCCUCUUGGGACUAUGACACUCAUAGCUGUGUGUGACCUCCAACCCUCCAUAAUCAAACCCAACCUUUGAACAAGCAUUGCUUUUUAAUAUUACUUUAACUUGCUAGUCAUUAUUGUGUCUUUUUCUGAAGGCUUUUAAAAGGGUUAUUAAGGAAGGUGGAAGAAAAUGCAAUAAAGGUCAAAGUCUUAAAGUCAUGUUAAGUAAUUGCAAAAAUGAAUAAUAAAAAAAAACCAAACCUAUCUGACUAGUUGGCAUGACCACUAGUUGUGUUUAUAUAGUUAAUGAUUGGAGAAAACUUGGAGGAGAGAAGGGUUUAGAUUACAUCCUGGUAAAUUAUUUUGAUUUAGUUCAAUUGCCUUUUGGCAAGUUAAAAAAAAAGGAGUGGUUAUCUACUGUUUGAUAAAUGUAACUACUGAUGUUGUUAGAAUUAACAUUUCAGUAUUUUUUUUCUUGAAAUUUGUGUUUCAUUUAACAAAUGCUUACGUACCAGUUACUGUAUGGCAUUAUCCUGUACUUUACAGAUACUAACCAACUUAAUUCUCAAAAACCCGUUAUGUAGUUAUCAUUCUUGCUCUUCUCAUUUUACAGACGAGGAGACUGAAGUAUGAACGGGUUAAGCAAUUUGUUCAAGAUCACCAGCUAGUGGGGAUCCCUGGGUUUAGAACCUGUCUUCGGCCCAGAGCGUGAUUCUGGAGUCCCGGGAUCGAGUCCUGCACAGGCUCCCUGUAUGGAGCCUGCUUCUCCCUCUGCCUGUGUCUCUGCCUCUCGCUCUCUCUGUCUUAAAUAAAUAAAAUUAAAAAAAAAAAAAAAAAAGAUCACCAGCUAGUAAGCUGUCUCGCCAGGACUCAAACUCAGGCUGUCAGGCUCCAGUGUCCUGUGCUUAACUACUGUGCUAUGCUGCCUGGAUAAGGAUUUCAUUAGAAUCCCAUUUUAAAAAUACAGCUACAGAGUCUAUAAUAAAACGUGUCCAUCUCCAGGUGUAUGGUUUCUGAUCAAGUUGCAGCAAAGACUGACUUUAUUAUUUAUUUAUUUAUUUAUUUAUUUAACA